GCCGCCGCCGCCGCGACCAAUGGGAAGCUGGCGCGCCUGCACCUGUCGGGGCGCGAGUCGCCAGGCAGUUGAACAAAAAAAAGAAACCUCUUUGGAGCAGAGAGGAUCGAAGAUAAUAGAUGUGACAGCACUUGAGGAAGUUAAAGGGAUUACACAAAGGUGGGAUGACCUCUGCACAAGGGAAACUCAGAGGCCAUCGUACAUGAAGCUUCUGAGGACAGCAGACCAGAGAACACACCCCACCCUGUGAAGAGGGAAUCAGAUCCAGAUCCCUCCAGGUGGCUGGGCAGGUGUCUGAAGCCCUGGGGCAUCAUCCAGCCCUGCCACAAGAAUGUCUCAAAGCUUCAGAAUCGCUUAUGAAGUAACAAGUGAGAGCACGUGGCUAUUCUGUUCUGUAAAUCUUGGCAUGUUUUCAAAAGCUUGAUGUAAAGACUGUAUUGCAGAAAACACUGUACCACCAACAACUUCCAAAUGGAAACUACUAAAGUGUACACAAUGGAAAAUGCACGUAGCAUCUCAAAUUAAGCCUUUCUAGUAUACUGCCUCUUCAUGCUUAAAGAGAUGUGCCGAGCUUGAUUUGAUGUGAUACCCAAUACAAUCAAAGUGGAAUUUUAGAAAUGCUAGUUAUCUCUGAGUCAAUGACAAAUUAAUACCAUUGUAAAUAUUCUUUAGGAUCCCUUCUUCACACACCAGAGAUAAUAAUGUUCUGAUUUUCACUUAAAUGAAAGAUUGAGCAAUAUUCCCUGAGGAACUGAUUGGUGGAUUCAAUGAAGCUGCUCUUCUCAAGAAAUCACAAAUUUUCCUUUUCUCUCUUCCUUGGGUGUUUUCUUUAAAGCAAGACUCUUCAUGCAUUUGUCACCCUAUGCAAUCAUCUAGUUAUGAGUUGGUUCCUUCAGGGUGCACGUAAUACGAGAGGAGUGUUAGAGUCUGUAAACAAGUCAAAAUAACACCUGGCAUUUUGCUAGGGGAAUGUUAGAGUUCGUAAACAAGUCUGGAUGGUGCCUGGCAAAAUGCCAGAGGGAGUGGUUUGAGAAGUAACAAAAGCGAGCCAUUAAGUGUGGAGAUUCCUUAUUGGUUGACUGAUGUAUCUAGUUUAUGCUAAUUAGAUAAGCUGUGUGGAAUGUAUAAAUACUGCUCCUGUCCAAUAAUAAACGGCUCCCACUCCUGCUGUAUCAACGUACACAAGUUGUUCGUCACCCCCGGUUAUUUUGCUGCAGCUGGACUGCGGCAGAGGAGGACAAUUAUGACUAUCAUUCAAAACCCAAGGAAGGACCCAUGAAUGAGCAGGAGGAUACCAAUUGUGUUGACAAACAUGGGACACUAGCAGAGGGAGCCACUCACCUAGUUGGCACUGCAUUCUGAAUUAAAACAAAACUCACUUCUGUUUUGAUUAGUGUAAUUUUUCAGGGAUGAUUUGCCAGGCCAAAGUGUUGAAUGGAUUGGAACUUAUGUCCCAUGGCAUCUCCAUUCUCUAACAUGAAGCACCUCUUAAUUUUAAUUGACUGUGGUCUCUUUCCAAUCUUAGACUCCUGCAAAUUUGCUUCUGAAAGUACCUGUUGGUAUAGUUUAGGUAUAAAAUGUCCCCCAAAGACCCAUGUGUUAAAAUCUUGGUCCCUAAGGUGGCACUAUUAGGAGGUAGUAGAACCUUUGAGAGGUGGGGCCUAAUGGGAGGUCUUUAGGUCAUUGGGGGGAGGGUGCCGUUCAAGAGGACUGUGGGACCUCAGCUGUGGGAAGCCAUUCUCGCGAGUGAUUUGAGUUACCUCCCUGGCUGAGAGAGGCGCUUAGACACAACUGUGUCAGAGUCUUCCCCACCCUGUCCCAGGUGCGAGGGCUUGUCCGUGUGGAGGUGUGCCUGGCCACUGACCCAAAGACCAAUCACUGACCCUGACCUUGGAAUGCUGCCCCUCCGUGUGGUGAGCCCCUUGGCCCUGGAACAAGGAAAUAGGUCAGGUUUCCUGUUCACUGUUUCGCUUGAGGAGGCGAGUGAGUCACUGAAGCAAGAACCAGCUUUGUGGGCUUCCUGUUCGGCCUACCUUCUCAGAAGAGCCUGGGACAGAUUGUACUUACUGAUAAGUCGGCCCAGCUGGGUCUCGCAUGAUCAGUCUGAGAAGCUGACCGAGUUUGCCUAAGGGCUAAGCCAAAAACCGCUUCCUGCUGCAGAAAACUGCGUGUGUGUGUGUGUGUGUGUGCUUUAGCUUGGGUUUGGGCGGAUAUAUAAGGGACAAGAGAUGAAUAAAGAGAGAGACUCCUGGAUGAAGAA